rnacentral:rRNA from 1 species
ACGAACGCUUUCGGUAUGCUUAACACAUGCAAGUUGAACGGAUUAAUUUAGGGCUUGCUCUAAAUUAAUUAGUAGCAAACGGGUGAGUAACACGUGGGAAUCUACCCAUCAGUACGGAAUAACAUUUAGAAAUAAAUGCUAAUACCGUAUAUUCUCUUCGGAGGAAAGAUUUAUCGCUGAUGGAUGAGCCCGCGUCAGAUUAGGUAGUUGGUAGGGUAAUGGCCUACCAAGCCAACGAUCUGUAGCUGGUCUGAGAGGAUGAUCAGCCACACUGGGACUGAGACACGGCCCAGACUCCUACGGGAGGCAGCAGUGGGGAAUAUUGGACAAUGGGCGCAAGCCUGAUCCAGCCAUGCCGCGUGCGGGAAGAAGGCCUUCGGGUUGUAAACCGCUUUUGUCAGGGAAGAAACGGUCUGAUCCAAUACAUCGGACUAAUGACGGUACCUGAAGAAUAAG